UAUGCAGCGAAUAUUUAUUAC
rnacentral:piRNA from 1 species